GGGUGUCGCCAAGUGGUAAGGCCCUAGCUUCCCAAGCUAGUAUCCGCGGGUUCGAAUCCCGUCACCC
rnacentral:tRNA from 1 species